rnacentral:sRNA from 1 species
CCCUAGCCCCGAUAGCAGUGAAAAUCCUUUUCUCUCGUUUCUUUUUGCGAGAGAAAAGAUUGAAACGAAUAGCGGGAAAUAGC